GGGUUCGUAGCUCAGCCAGGUAGAGUACCGGACUUUUAAUCCGGCUGUCCGGGGUCCGAAUCCCCGCGAACCCGCUA
rnacentral:tRNA from 3 species